rnacentral:rRNA from 1 species
GACGAACGCUGGCGGCGUGCUUAACACAUGCAAGUCGAGCGGAAAGGCCCUUCGGGGUACUCGAGCGGCGAACGGGUGAGUAACACGUGAGUAACCUGCCCCAGACUUUGGGAUAACCCUCGGAAACGGGGGCUAAUACCGGAUACGACACAGCUUCGCAUGGGGUCUGUGUGGAAAGUUUUUCGGUUUGGGAUGGGCUCGCGGCCUAUCAGCUUGUUGGUGGGGUGAUGGCCUACCAAGGCGACGACGGGUAGCCGGCCUGAGAGGGCGACCGGCCACACUGGGACUGAGACUCGGCCCAGACUCCUACGGGAGGCAGCAGUGGGGAAUAUUGCACAAUGGGCGGAAGCCUGAUGCAGCGACGCCGCGUGAGGGAUGACGGCCUUCGGGUUGUAAACCUCUUUCAGCAGGGACGAAGCGUAAGUGACGGUACCUGCAGAAGAAGCGCCGGCCAACUACGUG